rnacentral:lncRNA from 1 species
GUGGUCUCCAGUUCAGGGACGUGCACAUGGCUGCAGAAAGAUCUCCGAGAACGGUCCAAAGAAAUCCAGCAGUGUCAGAGGUCAUCUAUAAUUGAGGACAAAUUAGCAAGAGUCCAGAGGCUGAGCAUGGCUUUGAUCAGGGUGUCCAGCCUUUCUCAGUGCAAACCAUUCUGUGGAGAAAGGUAGGAGUCAUAUCAGUGAAUUGGUUGCCUUCCUAAAGGUUAUCAAGACCCCCUUUUCUCUUCCUCUGCUGCCUCCCCCACCUUACUCUCUUUGGGAGCACUUCUAUAUUUCUGCAGCAGUUUGACUUUGGCAGGAAUUGUAUUCAGGUAUAAUGCUAAGCCUUAAACCUGUUCAUCUUUGUUUGUACUCAAUUACCCUGAUUUUACUCUGAGAUUCAUG